rnacentral:rRNA from 1 species
AGCGAACGUUAGCGGCGGGCCUGAACACAUGCAAGUCGAGCGAGAAAGUGGCUUCGGCCACGAGUAAAGCGGCGGACGGGUGAGUAACACGUAGGUAAUCUUCCCUUGAGCGGGGACAACGGUCCGAAAGGACCGCUAAUACCGCAUACGUUCUCAGCGGCUCUGGUCGCUGAGAGGAAAGCUAGGCAGCAAUGUCCGGCACUCGAGGAGGAGCCUGCGUCGCAUCAGCUAGUUGGUGGGGUAACGGCCUACCAAGGCGAAGACGCGUAGCUGGUCUGAGAGGAUGAUCAGCCACACUGGGACUGAGACACGGCCCAGACUCCUACGGGAGCAGCAGUGGGGAAUAUUGGACAAUGGCGCAAGCCUGAUCCAGCCACGCCGCGUGAGUGAUGAAGGCCUUCGGGUCGUAAAGCUCUGUGGGGAGGGACGAACCGCUGUUGGUUCAUAGCCAGCAGCAUGACGGUACCUCCUUAGCAAGCACCGGCUAACUUCGUGCCAGCAGCCGCGGUAA